rnacentral:rRNA from 1 species
UAGCAUAUCAAUAAGCGGAGGAAAAGAAACCAACAGGGAUUGCCUCAGUAACGGCGAGUGAAGCGGCAAGAGCUCAAAUUUGAAAUCUGGCUCCUUCGGGGCCCGAGUUGUAAUUUGCAGAGGAUGCUUCGGGGGUGGUCGCCGCCUAAGUCCCCUGGAACGGGGCGUCAGAGAGGGUGAGAAUCCCGUCUUUGGUGGGCUGAUCGCUCCCGGGUGAAGCUCCUUCGACGAGUCGAGUUGUUUGGGAAUGCAGCUCUAAGCGGGUGGUAAAUUUCAUCUAAAGCUAAAUAUUGGCUGGAGACCGAUAGCGCACAAGUAGAGUGAUCGAAAGACGAAAAGUACUUUGAAAAGAGAGUUAAACAGCACGUGAAAUUGUUGAAAGGGAAGCGCUGGCCGCCAGAUUCGGCCUUGGGGGCUCACUGAGCAUGCUUGCUUAGGCACUCCCUCAGGGUCGGGUCAGCAUCGGUUCAGGCGGUCGGUCAAAGGCCCUCGGAAUGUGUCGCCUCUCGGGGCGUCUUAUAGCCGAGGGUGCAAUGCGGCCUGCCCGGAUCGAGGAACGCGCUUCGGCACGGAUGCUGGCAUAAUGGCGGUCAGCGGCCCGUCUUGAAACACGGACCAAGGAGUCUAACAUCCACGCGAGUGUUCGGGUGUCAAACCCGUCCGCGCAGUGAAAGCGAACGGAGGUGAGAGCCCCUGAGGGUGCAUCAUCGACCGAUCCUGAAGUCUUCGGAUGGAUUUGAGUAGGAGCGUGGCUGUGGGGACCCGAAAGAUGGUGAACUAUGCCUGAAUAGGGUGAAGCCAGAGGAAACUCUGGUGGAGGCUCGCAGCGGUUCUGACGUGCAAAUCGAUCGUCAAAUUUGGGUAUAGGGGCGAAAGACUAAUCGAACCAUCUGGUAGCUGGUUCCUGUCG